rnacentral:hammerhead_ribozyme from 1 species
AUCCAGCUGGCGGAUCCCAAAUAGGACGAAACGCGCUUCCUGGAU